rnacentral:tRNA from 1 species
GCUGGGGUGGCGAAAUGGCAGACGCGCUCGCCUCAAGAGCGGGUGAGGGCAACCUCAUGAGAGUUCGACUCUCUCCCCCAGCACCA